rnacentral:misc_RNA from 1 species
GAUGAAGAACGCAGCGAAAUGCGAUAAGUAAUGUGAAUUUCAGAAUUCAGUGAAUCAUCGAAUCUUUGAACGCACAUUGCGCCCCCUGGUAUUCCGGGGGCAUGCCUGUCCGAGCGUCAUUACAUCCCUCAAGCUCAGCUUGGUAUUGGGCCCCGCCGACCCGGCGGGCCCUAAAGUCAGUGGCGGUGCCGUCCGGCUCCGAGCGUAGUAAUUCUUCUCGCUCUGGAGGUCCGGUCGUGUGCUCGCCAGCAACCCCCAAUUUUUUUCAGGUUGACCUCGGAUCAGGUAGGGAUACCCGCUGAACUUAAGCAUAUCAAUAAGCGGAGGA